rnacentral:ribozyme from 1 species
GGCAGCCUUACCGCACUAACAUGGGUAUGGAUUCGAAGCCUUUUUAGGCUCUCCAUAUCCUAAUCAAUAUGUCCACGGUAUACAGAAUGGCAACAUAUUUCUCUGAAAUACUGAGCUUAUGUAUACGGGGAAACCCGACCCCCAUGUUCUCCAUGUUAGAGGAUAGAUCCUGCGGG